rnacentral:rRNA from 1 species
GACGAACGCUGGCGGCGCGCUUAACACAUGCAAGUCGAACGGAAAGGCCUGCUUUCCCUUGUGGAUUGCGGGUACUCGCGUGGCGAACGGGUGAGUAACACGUGAGUGAUCUGCCCCCAACUUGGGUAUAAGCCUGGGAAACUGGGUCUAAUUCCCGAUAGGACUGCAGGGUGGUGCCUGUGGUGGAAAACGAUUUUCUAGUGGUUGGGGAUGAGCUCGCGGCCUAUCAGCUUGUUGGUGGGGUAAUGGCCUACCAAGGCGGCGACGGGUAGCCGGCCUGAGAGGGUGGACGGCCACAUUGGGACUGAGAUACGGCCCAGACUCCUACGGGAGGCAGCAGUGGGGAAUAUGGCACAAUGGGCGGAAGCCUGAUGCAGCGACGCCGCGUGGGGGAUGACGGCCUUCGGGUUGUAAACUCCUUUCGACCGCGAGGAAGCCACCUGGUUGGAAGGGUGGUGACGGUAGUGGUAGAAGAAGCACCGGCUAACUACGUG